rnacentral:lncRNA from 1 species
UUUAUGAUCUAAAUCCAAAUCAAAAUUUAAACAUGAGUCAUUAAAAACUCUCAAUUUUGUAUCAAUGUACUAACUUGAUACACUUUAAACCACAUGUUACUACAGUGAGAAAGUUCGAAAUCACAGGACCUAAUUUGAUACACUUUAAACUACAUGGUACUAAAGUGAGAAAGUGUGAAACCACAAGGAGGGUAUUUGAAGUUUACCCAAAUACAGAGGAGAAUUGACAGGAGGCAAGCAAAGUUACUAUCAUGA